CCAUGCCAAAGGUACACCUAGGAGGUCUUUCAGCCACCCUAUGGCAGCCCUAUCACUUUAGCUAACCACCACCUCCGAUAUCCUUUACCAUUUCAGCCAACAAACUCUCUUCACUCAUUUCCUUGGACACUAGAAACCAGAAAUGAGAGAGAGAGAAAGAGAGUUGAUUUGCUGCUGCCUGCACUUCUUCAAGAGGUAAGCCUUGUCUUAAUUCCUCCACUACCAUUCUUGUUCACCUGCUAUUUUUAGGUAACAACACAUGACUCGUUUCAGUAAACAUCCACUGGAUUAAAUCCAACAACAACGAGCAACACUAAACCCUCACAAGGUAUAUACUAAGCUCUCUUAUUUCGAAUCCAGUUUGUGUAUCAUCCAGCAAGUAUGUUAUUUUCUAAAGAAUUCAGAGUAAGCAUAAAUAACAUAAUCAUUUUUCCCAUAUAGAAACAACAGACUUCACUAACACAAGAUUAUAGAAAAACAAGAGCUCACUAGACUCAUGAACAAUAGCUUUAGAAAUCUCUUUCCCUUCCACGAGAAUCAUGAAAUCCCUAAGGUGUGAAGAUGAUUCAUAUUGCAUAAUAACCAUAGAGUUUGAAUUGACUUAGCAUUUUUGGGAAAGGGGAGAGGUACUUUGCUGUACCUGUUUCUGUAAACCGGGAGAGGGGUGACUUCCUGUUCCGUCAAACCGAGGGGAAGCAACGAUGGUGAAGCUUUUACUGUCUCGCCCGAAGUCGAGUAAGGCAGCGACGUUCGCGAUAACAGGUCGA
rnacentral:lncRNA from 1 species